CAAUGGCUAGGCUUCAGCCACGUUGAGCUUUGGAUCCCACAACGCCGGCCUUUUGGGUCCCGCGGAGUUGGGCCCGUGGGGCCCAGCUAGAACAUAUAUAAUGCUGGUACUCGCACGAGUCAACAGAGAAACAGAGAGAGAGAGAGAGAGAGAUGGUGGUGGUGGAGAUGGCGGAGGCGAACACGAACACCUGCUUCCGUGGCUGCUGCAGCAGCUCCUCCAUCCCCCUCCACCUCCCAGCCUCCUCGUUCACCCUCCUCUCCGCCAUCGCGAAAGGUGCCGAGAGCACCGUCUACGAGGCGAGGCUCCACGAUGGAACCAGGGUCGCCGCCAAGAAACCCGUCCUCUCCACCGCCGACGACAUCGACCGCUUCCACCGCCAACUCCAGCUCCUCUGUAAGCUGGAUCACCCGGGGCUAGCGAAGUUGGUGGCGGCGAACGCCAGGCCGCCCAACUACCUGCUCUUCUUCGAGCACUACGAAUCGAGGAGCGUGGCCGAGAAGUUGCAUGUCGAGGAGUGGAGCCCUAGCGUUGAUCAAGUGAUCGCCAUCGCUUAUGACCUAGCAAAAGCUCUUCAAUACCUACACAGCCUUGGAAUUGUACAUAGAGAUGUUAAACCUGCAAAUAUUCUUCUUGACAGGAACCUUUAUCCACACCUAGCUGAUUUUGGUUUGGCCACAUAUAAAAAGGAUCUUAAACAUGUAUCAGUUGAGAAUUGGAGAUCAACUGGCAAGCCUACCGGUGGAUUUCACAAAAGGAACAUGGUGGGAACUCUCAUCUAUAUGGCGCCAGAAAUUCUAAGGAAGGAUAUUCACACAGAGAAAUCAGAUGUCUACAGUUUUGCAGUAUCUAUCAAUGAGCUUCUUACUGGAGUUGUUCCUUACACAGAUCUACGAGCUGAAGCCCAGGCCCACACAGUGCUUGAAAUGAGCUACACCGAACAACAACUUACAGCAGCAGUUGUCUCCAGUGGUUUGCGGCCUGCUCUCGCUAACCCUGAAUCUGGUGCUCCGCCAAGUCUAUUAUCUCUUAUUGAAAGGUCUUGGGAUCAAAAUCCUUUGAAUAGGCCUUCUUUUGAUGAUAUAGUCAAGGAAUUGUACUCGCUCAUGAAGCAUAGAGACAUAUCUAGUUUACCAUUAUUUACUCCCAAUGAUCAAUGUCAAGACAGCAACGAUGACCUCAAAUAUAUUCAAGAAGAUUUGAAUUGGUUAUCUCGUGGAGAAGAAUUAGCCAAGAAAGCACUUGCUGAAAAAUCAAAUAUUACAUCCUGGUCUAGUUCUGUUCAUGAUUCUCUACAGUACAAGCCAGUUUUGUCUUGGGGAUCAUUUGCAACAUGUGGAAGAAGGGAGAAAAUGGAAGAUGCGCAUUUCAUGCUUCCACACCUGUGCAAUGAGAAGGAUGUUCAUGCUUUUGGAAUCUUUGAUGGUCAUCGAGGUGCAGCAGCUGCUGAAUUUUCUUCCAGAGCACUGCCAGGAUUCCUACGGAAUUCUGAUUAUAUAUGCAGUCCUGCAGAUUCACUUAUUGAAGCUUUUCUAAAGACGGACUUAGCAUUCAGGGAUGAGCUAGUGUUGCACUGUAACUCGAGAAGAAUUACUCAGAAAGAUUGGCAUCCUGGUUGCACGGCAGUUACAGCACUAAUAGUGGGGAACAAAAUUUUUGUUGCAAAUGCUGGUGAUUGUCGGGCAAUUAUAAGUCGUUCAGGCAGCCCAUUUCCAAUGAGUAAGAGCAAGAUCAGUUAUCAUGCCUUACUGAUAUUGGUAGGAUCAUGUUGCAAGCUCUCCUGAGGAAAGAAUGCGUGUCAUGGGAGAAGGUGUCGAAGUGAAAUGGCAAGUAGAUACAUGGAGGGUUGGACCAGCUGCACUUCAGGUUACACGAUCAAUUGGUGAUGAUGAUCUAAAGCCUGCAGUAACAGCGAAUCCUGAGAUAAUUGUUACUUGUAUUUCGGCAGAUGAUGACUUCCUGGUGAUGGCUAGUGAUGGACUCUGGGACGUAAUAAGCAAUGAGGAGGUGGUGUCCAUCAUCAAAGACACUGUCAAGGAGCCGUCAAUGUGUUCGAAGAGGCUGGCCACCGAAGCUGCUGCACGUGGCAGCAAAGACAACAUCACGGUCAUUGUUGUUUUCCUUCGUCCAGUCUCAACUGCCGAGAGAAUUUAUUAGCGUGCGAGGAGCCAUAUGUUGCGCAUGCGAUUGUGCUUCGUCUUGGUGGCCGAUGAAUGUGGCAGCAAAGAAACCGGAGGAGUCAUACUGGAGGAGUCAGCCAGGAGAAGUCACUAGCUUUGGAGGAGUCAUACCGGACACACGCAAUUGCAAUUCACGUUCUUCGCUGCAUUGUUUUUACUCGAUUCUUUACCAGUUGUAGAUUUCAAUAGAGCCAGACAAGGAGGAAAGUGUCUGAAGGAAAUAGUGAUUGUCUUGACCUUUCUUGAUUCCUUUUUUGGGCUGAAGUAGGCUACUAUUGAUGUGGUUUUUAUGUAAAAUUAUUCGAUACUCCUAUAACAUUUUUUACUCUUCAUUACUGUUCAACCCCAUAAUGCAACAAUUCCUUCAUGUUAUUAAUGAAGGGAUUGCAUAUGGAGAAAAAUUGUUCCUCCAUGGCUAUUUUGAGAAAGAA